rnacentral:rRNA from 1 species
GUAAACCUAUUUAUUUUGGCGGCUUUUCAUUUUUAUUAGAGGAACUUGUCAAAUAAUCGAUAGUCCACGCUAAUUUUAACUUCAAUCAAAAAUUUAUAUACCGCCAUCUAAAGAAUUUUAUAAAAGCUAUACUCUUAAUGAUAAACAAAAAGUUAGGUCAAGGUGUAAUCUAUAUUUAAGGUUUAUGAUGUGUUACAUUUAACUUAAUUUAAGGAUUAUUAAUUUAUAAAUUAAUAUAAAAGAGGAUUUAUAAGUAUUUUAAAAAUAAAAAUUUUUAAAG